rnacentral:tRNA from 1 species
CGGGGCGUAGCGCAGCCUGGUAGCGCACCACACUGGGGGUGUGGUGGUCGGAGGUUCAAAUCCUCCCGUCCCGACCA